rnacentral:lncRNA from 1 species
CCGGACCAAGCCCCUUCAGCUUCUCCCUCCGGAUCGAUGUGCUGCUGUUAACCCGUGAGGAGGCGGCGGCGGCGGCAGCGGCAGCGGAAGAUGGUGUUGCUGAGAGUGUUAAUUCUGCUCCUCUCCUGGGCGGCGGGGAUGGGAGGUCAGUAUGGGAAUCCUUUAAAUAAAUAUAUCAGACAUUAUGAAGGAUUAUCUUACAAUGUGGAUUCAUUACACCAAAAACACCAGCGUGCCAAAAGAGCAGUCUCACAUGAAGACCAAUUUUUACGUCUAGAUUUCCAUGCCCAUGGAAGACAUUUCAACCUACGAAUGAAGAGGGACACUUCCCUUUUCAGUGAUGAAUUUAAAGUAGAAACAUCAAAUAAAGUACUUGAUUAUGAUACCUCUCAUAUUUACACUGGACAUAUUUAUGGUGAAGAAGGAAGUUUUAGCCAUGGGUCUGUUAUUGAUGGAAGAUUUGAAGGAUUCAUCCAGACUCGUGGUGGCACAUUUUAUGUUGAGCCAGCAGAGAGAUAUAUUAAAGACCGAACUCUGCCAUUUCACUCUGUCAUUUAUCAUGAAGAUGAUAUUAACUAUCCCCAUAAAUACGGUCCUCAGGGGGGCUGUGCAGAUCAUUCAGUAUUUGAAAGAAUGAGGAAAUACCAGAUGACUGGUGUAGAGGAAGUAACACAGAUACCUCAAGAAGAACAUGCUGCUAAUGGUCCAGAACUUCUGAG